GUGGAUUUCUGUGUGUUUUAAGAGUUAUCCCACAAAAUCUGGAAAGAAAACUUCGCAAAUAGAAUUUUCUUUUUAAUUGCUUACAGACUUCUAUAAUUAUGGGCUAGGCUGUAAUUGAAAUCAAAUGCUUUCAACCUUUCUAGAGCGGGGCUAAUUUUUCCAAACUGUGGACAAUUUUUUACUGUACAGUAAAGAGGCCUCAGUGUGCUAAACAGAUUUUACUCAAUGUGAUUAAUCU